AAGUCUAUCUGGGGUAAAAAGAAAAAAAGCUUAGGAAGAUUUUUAAAAUAUCACUUGUUGCUCAGCCUUCCUAGAAGUGAAAAUGUGUUCCAUUUGGAAAAGGUCACUAUUUGUUCACCUUUUUCAAAUUACAAUGCUUGGACUUCUCCUUCAAAAAAAUGCAGUUAGUGGAAAAUGGAAACUAAAUUACAAACAGAGAAAUACAGAGGGGAGAUUAAAUAGUCUAGAAAUGAUGAGGAGGUGAGGUGUCAGUGUACAAUAUGCACAGUGUGUCAUUUGAGGGAGAACACAAAUCAGGGUGUAGUUCUUGGUUUGCUUUGCUGAAAGUGGAUUUGUUUCCAGCUCACUUCAGCUGAUUUCUAUCCCUUGUUCAGUCAAGCGUUCAAUUUGUUUAGUCAGCACACUAAAAGGGAAUUAUCACACAGGUCUGGUAUAGCCUCUCUAAUUAAAAUCCAAACUUUUGCAUAUGUGUAGCUGCAGGCAUCCACAUCACAUAUAGGUGAUAACACUGAUCUUGUUGCAUCUUCUCACUUCAAGCUCUGCAAAUUCUGGAUGCACACCAGGCUCCCACUGAAAUCCUGCACAUCUCACACAGCCUCCACCAGGCCAUAUGCAUCUCCAUUUCAAGAAAGCACUGUCUUUAUCCUGAGUGAGCAGGUAUAAUGCUGCUGGGUAAAAUGAAGGGCAGGCAGUAUCUGAUAGGAGUAAUAGUAAUAGUAAUCUGAUAGUAGUCUUUUUAUAGCACAUACAAGCUACUGUGCAAACAAGAAUAAACAUGGAAGCAAAGUAUGUCAUCCUACAAAAGACAGUUGUAGAUUUAUUUGAGGGCUAGUGCCAAUAAAUACUGCCAAUGGCAUAACAAAUAUGGUGGGUAAAAAAAGAUUAAUUGAGUUUUACCCAGCUUCACCAACACCAAACACGGAUCAAAGAUGAUGUCACAACAUAGGUCCUGAGCAGUGGAAUACUUCAAUACUGCAGUACCUCAGCCUUUUACUGCUUCCAUCGAAACUGUUGUUGUUAAUGUACAUACUCUCUGAAUAAAGUUCUAAAGGAAAAUAAAGAGUCCCUGACAGUUUAGU
ensembl:lncRNA